UACGUAGGGUGCGAGCGUUAAUCGGAAUUACUGGGUGUAAAGCGUGCGCAGGCGGUUCGUUGUGUCUGAUGUGAAAGCCCCGGGCUUAACCUGGGAAUGGCAUUGGAAACUGGCGAGCUGGAGUGUGGCAGAGGGGGGUGGAAUUCCGCGUGUAGCAGUGAAAUGCGUAGAUAUGCGGAGGAACACCGAUGGCGAAGGCAAUCCCCUGGGCCUGCACUGACGCUCAUGCACGAAAGCGUGGGGAGCAAACAGG
rnacentral:rRNA from 1 species